UGGGGAAUAUUGGGCAAUGGGCGCAAGCCUGACCCAGCCACGCCGCGUGAGUGAUGAAGGCCUUCGGGUCGUAAAGCUCUGUGGGGAAGGACGAAAAAACAUUGGCUAAUAUCCAAUGGCUUGACGGUACUUCCUUAGCAAGCACCGGCUAACUCUGUACCAGCAGCCGCGGUAAUACAGAGGGUGCAAACGUUGCUCGGAAUCAUUGGGCGUAAAGCGCACGUAGGCGGCCUGAUAAGUCGGUAGUGAAAGCCCUCGGCUUAACCGAGGAAGUGCUAUCGAAACUGCCAGGCUUGAGUACCGGAGAGGAUCGCGGAAUUCCCGGUGUAGAGGUGAAAUUCGUAGAUAUCGGGAGGAACACCAGUGGCGAAGGCGGCGAUCUGGACGGAUACUGACGCUGAGGUGCGAAAGCGUGGGGAGCGAAACAGGAUUAGAUACCCUGGUAGUCCCUGAGCGGGCUGGCAAGGCGCAU
rnacentral:rRNA from 1 species